GAAGCUCUGCUUCUCUCUCUCUCCUGCCAUGGCAAGCCCUCACCAGUCAUCGGCCGAUCUCCCUCACUGGAGCAUUGCCAACCAAAUACUUGCACCAUCGGGUUCGCCUCGACAAGGAGAAUCCAUUUUACCUAUUUCCCCUCUUCCCUAACCACUUCAUCAAGCCACCAUAGCCACCUCUUUUGCCGCCGGAGGCAAGCUCUUCCACUCGCCGUUCCGGCUUCCUCUCUAACUCCCUUCGCUUGAAACUGCCUUCCCCGGAUGCGCGUUGUUCGGGAACGCAAUCCGCCACCGACGUUGCCGAUCCCCGGCUACCGGAGCACCGGCGCCCAAUCCUCUCCCUCCUCUGUUACUCGGCUGGGAGCCUGGAAGAAGAAGAAAGGAAAACGAGAGGAAGAAGGAGAGAAAGAAAAAGAAGAAGAAAAAGAAAAGCCUGACAGUAGUCUAUUAUCUUUUGGAUGGCAACCUGUGAUGUUUCGAGGAUCGGAUAAUCAGGUUGCCUAUCUCGGAUUUGUUUGCGUUGGAGCAAGGCAAGUUAUUAUUCCACCCCUUUGAGCAUUAUUAUCCUAUAUUCUAUAUCUCUAUUAUUCCAUGCAUUAGCCAUUCAUGAUUUUAAAUGCAUAACUUGAACAUAUAGCAAACCAGAUAUAUGCUAGAUUUUGCUUAGCCAUGCCUAGUUAGAUUGCAUAAAAUAUAAUGAACUUAGAUUGGAACAGUACGGUAGAAAUGGUUGAUUUCCGGGUGGCUAGUACUGUUCCAACCGACAUAAGAUUGCCAAGUACAUGUGAAGAACGAACGAGUACGACCGCAAUUCUAGAAUGGGGACAGACUUAGCAAAGUAGGUUAUCUAACAAAGGUGGUACCUCUGUAUAGUGGUUCUUCUUUAAGUCCUCGCGCAGGAGGCAAAUUUACGCCGAGCAGGGCGAUUAUAAUAUUUACCGAGGCGCGGGUAAAUAUAUUGAUUAUUGCGCGCUGUGUGUGUAUUGUGAAAACCUGGUUGGGACGACGGGGGUCUCUCAACCAGUUCUCUCUAAAGACCUCGGGAACGCCAGAACUCCUCUCGCUGCUGAUAACGUUACGUUCAGAGCGCAUGAGGAUGAGAGUUCAUGGAACAGGUGCCACUGAUGUUAGUAACCGAAAAGCUUUGCCAUGACUAAGCUGAUGAAUAUUAGCAUGUCAUGGAUUGCGGGUAAAGCGUACAUCUACUGCAGUAUGAGUAUCUCUGAAACUAUUCGAAUAGCCGUGCUCACGGAUAUUGAGCAUCGGGACUCACUAUGGCAUCUUGGUUAGAAAUAUAACUCCAGAUUUAUUAAAUACUGUUGCAUUUCAACACAUUAUAGACUUUCUCCUUCUAAUUUCUCAGCUUUCUGCAAAUAGAUCUAGCUCUACUCAAAUACUAUUAUUUCAUACAUUCAUACUUAAAUAUAAUAGCUUGCUGAGUACGUUAUACUCACCCUUGCUUCAACCCCUCUUCUUUCAGAGUUAAUUUGGAGUUCUUGCCGAAGCCGAAAGUUCAAUCAUAUAAGUUAGUUUCAUUUCAACCUAGUUUUCAAGUCUAGAUUUGUUAGAUGGUUUAAGUCUAUAGUAAAACCACAACUUGCUGAGUACGUUAUACUCACCCUUGCUUCAACCCCUCUUCUUUCAGAGUUAAUUUGGAGUUCUUGCCGAAGCCGAAAGUUCAAUCAUAUAAGUUAGUUUCAUUUCAACCUAGUUUUCAAGUCUAGAUUUGUUAGAUGGUUUAAGUCUAUAGUAAAACCACAAUAUUUUAACCUAGUUUUCAAGUCUAGAUUUGUUAGAUGGUUUAAGUCUAUAGUAAAACCACAAUUUUAAAACAUUAGGAUUGAGUCAUUUUAUAGCUUCUGUUGUAUUAGUUAGCCACAAUUUUGUAAAUUCCCCUAUUAUUUUGUAAUAUAAACUCCUUCCGAAUCGAA